AGGGGAGAGAGACAGGAGAAAGUUAAAAACACGCAAAUGGAAAGAAAAAGAAAGCUGCAGCAGCUGCUUAUCACUCAGUAGAUUUAUCUUUCUCAUCUUCUCUCAUCCACACGGGCGCUAAGUCAGUUUGGAAAAACUAAAUUAAUAAAUAAAGCCGUUUCUCUUUCUCUCUCUAUCCGGCCCCUUCUUUCCUUUAUGGUUUCUCUCUGAAACGGAGUUUGGUAGAGGGGGCGGCCGACUCCCUCAACUCGGACCGAGUUAUGGGUUGUUGCCAAUCUUUCUUCUUUCGAGUAACUGCCUCCCAGGAAAAAGCCUACCUUCAUCAGGCGCAGAAUCACCACCCUUCUCACCCUGCCAACGGCAAGGACCCUGCCUCUGCUGCCUCCUCAGGUCUCCGUGGUUUCAUCGAGUUUUCUCUCGCUGACCUAAAAGCCGCCACCAAUAACUUUAGCCCUGAGUUCAUCGUUUCGGAAAGCGGUGAAAAGGCUCCCAAUGUCGUCUAUAAAGGCCGCCUGCAGAACCAGGAUAAUCGCACUUGGAUCGCUGUCAAGAAAUU
rnacentral:misc_RNA from 1 species